rnacentral:rRNA from 1 species
GACGAACGCUGGCGGCGUGCUUAACACAUGCAAGUCGAACGGUAAGGCCCUUCGGGGUACACGAGUGGCGAACGGGUGAGUAACACGUGGGUGAUCUGCCCUGCACUUUGGGAUAAGCCUGGGAAACUGGGUCUAAUACCGAAUACACCCUGCUGGUCGCAUGGCCUGGUGGGGGAAAGCUUUUGCGGUGUGGGAUGGGCCCGCGGCCUAUCAGCUUGUUGGUGGGGUGAUGGCCUACCAAGGCGACGACGGGUAGCCGGCCUGAGAGGGUGUCCGGCCACACUGGGACUGAGAUACGGCCCAGACUCCUACGGGAGGCAGCAGUGGGGAAUAUUGCACAAUGGGCGCAAGCCUGAUGCAGCGACGCCGCGUGAGGGAUGACGGCCUUCGGGUUGUAAACCUCUUUCAAUAGGGACGAAGCGCAAGUGACGGUACCUAUAGAAGAAGCACCGGCCAACUACGUGCCAGCAGCCGCGGUAAUACGUAGGGUGCGAGCGUUGUCCGGAAUUACUGGGCGUAAAGAGCUCGUAGGUGGUUUGUCGCGUUGUUCGUGAAAACUCACAGCUUAACUGUGGGCGUGCGGGCGAUACGGGCAGACUGGAGUACUGCAGGGGAGACUGGAAUUCCUGGUGUAGCGGUGGAAUGCGCAGAUAUCAGGAGGAACACCGGUGGCGAAGGCGGGUCUCUGGGCAGUAACUGACGCUGAGGAGCGAAAGCGUGGGGAGCGAACAGGAUUAGAUACCCUGGUAGUCCACGCCGUAAACGGUGGGUACUAGGUGUGGGUUUCCUUCCUUGGGAUCCGUGCCGUAGCUAACGCAUUAAGUACCCCGCCUGGGGAGUACGGCCGCAAGGCUAAAACUCAAUGAAAUUGACGGGGGCCCGCACAAGCGGCGGAGCAUGUGGAUUAAUUCGAUGCAACGCGAAGAACCUUACCUGGGUUUGACAUGCACAGGACGCCGGCAGAGAUGUCGGUUCCCUUGUGGCCUGUGUGCAGGUGGUGCAUGGCUGUCGUCAGCUCGUGUCGUGAGAUGUUGGGUUAAGUCCCGCAACGAGCGCAACCCUUGUCUCAUGUUGCCAGCACGUUAUGGUGGGGACUCGUGAGAGACUGCCGGGGUCAACUCGGAGGAAGGUGGGGAUGACGUCAAGUCAUCAUGCCCCUUAUGUCCAGGGCUUCACACAUGCUACAAUGGCCGGUACAAAGGGCUGCGAUGCCGUGAGGUGGAGCGAAUCCUUUCAAAGCCGGUCUCAGUUCGGAUCGGGGUCUGCAACUCGACCCCGUGAAGUCGGAGUCGCUAGUAAUCGCAGAUCAGCAACGCUGCGGUGAAUACGUUCCCGGGCCU